rnacentral:ncRNA from 1 species
UCUUAUCAAGAGAGGUGGAGGGAAAAAGGCCCUAUGAAACCCGGCAACCGGUGCUAAGCACUAAGGUGCCAAUUCCUGCAGAGUUUUCUGCAAGAUAAGA